rnacentral:rRNA from 1 species
CCUGACUGCUAUCGGAUUGAUACUAAGCCAUGCGAGUCAUUGUAGCAAUACAAGGCAGACGGCUCAGUAACGCGUAGUCAACCUACCUUAUGGACGGGGAUAACCUCGGGAAACUGAGAAUAAUACCCGAUAGAACAUUAUACCUGGAAUGGUUUAUGUUUCAAAUAAUUUAUUGCCGUAAGAUGGGACUGCGGCCUAUCAGUUUGUUGGUGAGGUAAUGGCCCACCAAGACUAUUACAGGUACGGGCUCUGAGAGGAGUAGCCCAGAGAUGGGUACUGAGACACGGACCCAGGCCCUAUGGGGCGCAGCAGGCGAGAAAACUUUGCAAUGUGCGAAAGCACGACAAGGUUAAUCCGAGUGGUUUCUGCUAAAGGAACCUUUUGUCAGUCCUAGAAACACUAACGAAUAAGGGGUGGGCAAGUUCUGGUGUCAGCCGCCGCGGUAAAACCAGCACCUCAAGUGGUCAGGAUGAUUAUUGGGCCUAAAGCAUCCGUAGCCUGCUUUGUUAGUUUUCGGUUAAAUCCAUACGCUCAACGUAUGGGCUGCCGGGAAUACUGCAAAGCUAGGGAGUGGGAGAGGUAGACGGUACUCGGUAGGAAGGGGUAAAAUCCUUUGAUCUAUUGAUAACCACCUGUGGCGAAGGCGGUCUACCAGAACACGUCCGACGGUGAGGGAUGAAAGCUGGGGGAGCAAACCGGAUUAGAUACCCGGGUAGUCCCAGCUGUAAACUAUGCAAACUCGGUGAUGCAUUGGCUUGAUGCCAAUGCAGUGCCGCAGGGAAGCCGUUAAGUUUGCCGCCUGGGAAGUACGUACGCAAGUAUGAAACUUAAAGGAAUUGGCGGGGGAGCACCACAAGGGGUGAAGCCUGCGUUC